AUGAACGCUGGCGGCGUGCCUAAUACCUGCCAGUCGAGCGAACAGACGAGGAGCUUGCUCCUCUGACGUUAGCGGCGGACGGGUGAGUAACACGUGGAUAACCUACCUAUAAGACUGGGAUAACUUCGGGAAACCGGAGCUAAUACCGGAUAAUAUAUUGAGCCGCAUGGUUCAAUAGUGAAAGACGGUUUUGCUGUCACUUAUAGAUGGAUCCGCGCCGCAUUAGCUAGUUGGUAAGGUAACGGCUUACCAAGGCAACGAUGCGUAGCCGACCUGAGAGGGUGAUCGGCCACACUGGAACUGAGACACGGUCCAGACUCCUACGGGAGGCAGCAGUAGGGAAUCUUCCGCAAUGGGCGAAAGCCUGACGGAGCAACGCCGCGUGAGUGAUGAAGGUCUUCGGAUCGUAAAACUCUGUUAUUAGGGAAGAACAAAUGUGUAAGUAACUAUGCACGUCUUGACGGUACCUAAUCAGAAAGCCACGGCUAACUACGUG
rnacentral:rRNA from 1 species